UACGAAGGGGGCUAGCGUUGCUCGGAAUCACUGGGCGUAAAGGGCGCGUAGGCGGCCGGCCAAGUCGGGGGUGAAAGCCUGUGGCUCAACCACAGAAUGGCCCUCGAUACUGGCUGGCUCGAGACCGGAAGAGGUUGGUGGAAUUGCGAGUGUAGAGGUGAAAUUCGUAGAUAUUCGCAAGAACACCAGUGGCGAAGGCGGCUCACUGGCCCGGUACUGACGCUGAGGUGCGAAAGCGUGGGGAGCAAACAGG
rnacentral:rRNA from 1 species